GACGAACGCUGGCGGCGUGCUUAACACAUGCAAGUCGAACGAAGUGGCGAACGGGUGAGUAACGCGUAAUCAACCUGCCCUUCAGGGGGGGACAACAGUUGGACACGAGUGCUAAUACCGCAUACUGAGGGAGGGGAUUGCGUCGGAUUGGCUGGUGGGAGGGGUAACGGCCCACCAAGGCGAAGAUCCGUAACGGGUCUGAGAGGGUGAUCGGCCACACUGGAACUGAGACACGGUCCAGACUCCUACGGGAGGCAGCAGUGGGGAAUAUUGGACAAUGGGCGAAAGCCUGAUCCAGCCAUGCCGCGUGUGUGAAGAAGGUCUUCGGAUGGUAAAGCACUUUAAUUUGGGAGGCGUUACCAACAGAAUAAGCACCGGCUAACUUCGUGCCAGCAGCCGCGGUAAUAC
rnacentral:rRNA from 1 species